rnacentral:tRNA from 1 species
AUGGUCUAGUGGUAUGAUUCUCGCUUUGGGUGCGAGAUGUCCCGGGUUCAAUCCCCGGU